UAGGCGGUGGAAAAUGAACCAAAUGGGAUUCCUUAAGUAAUUGCGAAUGAACAAGGAAAUGCUCAGCUUGAAAAAUGGGGCCUUUGGCUUUGAAUUGUAAUUUUGAAAUGUAUUGCCAAUGGAGGCGCAGGUGCAAGCCUAUUGAAAGAAAGCGUCAACGAGGGUGAAAUUCCUUUUUGUCAUUUGCAGUCCUCCCGUGCACGGUAUAUAUUUGACGAGUCACACUCCUCGGCAUUGGAAUGCAAAGUGGGUGGUAAAUUCCAUGUAAAGGUAAAUAUAUUAUUGAGACUGAUAGCAAACAAGUACCAUGAGGGAAAUAUGAAAAGGACUUUGAAAAGGGAAUUAAAAGAGUCUGCAUUUGCUGAACAGAAAGCAAACAGAAUUGAUGUGCUUGGUUGGAUUGUUGUGCCCACUCUGUCAUUUAUGUCGGAUGUGGGUGCGAUGGUUCUUACCUUGAAUGUCAGCUUCUAUUUCUGCAAAUCAUUACCCUUGCACAUGAAUGGUAAUUUGCCUGCGGGUAUUGGAAUGUAUGUGUUUGCAAUGAUUUGUGAUUUGAUGCAUGUGGUUGGUGGACUUUGUAUGUGCUGUUUUGCCAACGGGGAAGGGACUCUUCCUUGAGCACUGCAAGCCCUUGCACAUUGAUGCUGGCAAAAUGUUUCUGCUUG
rnacentral:rRNA from 1 species